AGUGAACGCUGGCGGUAGGCCUAACACAUGCAGGUCGAACGGCAGCACAGUAAGAGCUUGCUCUUACGGGUGGCGAGUGGCGGACGGGUGAGGAAUACAUCGGAAUCUACUUUUUCGUGGGGGAUAACGUAGGGAAACUUACGCUAAUACCGCAUACGACCUACGGGUGAAAGAAGGGGCUCUUCGGACCUCGGGCGUUUGAAUGAGCCGAUGUCGGAUUAGCUAGUUGGCGGGGUAACGGCCCACCAAGGCGACGAUCCGUAGCUGGUCUGAGAGGAGGAUCAGCCGCACUGGAACUGAGACACGGUCCAGACUCCGACGGGAGGCAGCAGUGGGGAAUAUUGGACAAUGGGCGCAAGCCUGAUCCAGCCAUACCGCGUGGGUGAAGAAGGCCUUCGGGUUGUAAAGCCCUUUUGUUGGGAAAGAAAAGCAGCAGGUUAAUACCCCGCUGUUCUGACGGUACCCAAAGAAUAAGCACCGGCUAACUUCGUG
rnacentral:rRNA from 1 species